rnacentral:piRNA from 1 species
UGACUUGUAAGGUUUUUACUACCAUCCC